AUNAGCCAUGCAUGUCUAAGUACAAGCCGCUCGCGCGGCGAGACUGCGGACGGCUCAUUAAAUCGGUUACGACUCCACUGGGGCCAGACUCUCCACGUGGAUAACGUGCGGUAACUCCGGUGCUAAUACAUGCAACAAGGCUCCGACCUCGGCCUCGGCCGGGGGAAGGGCGCACUUAUUAGGCGAAAACCGACCGCCGGCUUGCCGGCGUUGGUGGACGACACCCGAGUAAUUGCCGCCGAUCGCACGGCCUCGAGCCGGCGACGCCGCCACCGAGUUUCUGAUCUAUCAUGCUGUCGACGGUUGGUGCUAUGCCAACCGUGGCGUUAACGGAUAACAGAGAAUCUGGGUUCGAUUCUGGAGAGGCCGCAUGAGAAACGGCGACCACUUCCAAGGAAGGCAGCAGGCACGCAAAUUACCCACUCGGGACACCCGGAGGUAGUGACGAACAAUACCGAUGCGGCGCGCUUACGCGUCGCCGUAAUCGGAAUGAGUACAAUUAAAAUCCUUUAACGAGGAUCCACUGGAGGGCAAGCCUGGUGCCAGCAGCCGCGGUAAUUCCAGCUCCAGCAGCGUAUAUUUAUAUUGCUGCGUUUAAAAAGCUCGUAGUUGACACGUCAGACGCGGGAGGACGGAUGGCCGCACCGGUUUUUCUCGUCCGACCGAGCCAGGCGCGGAGGGCGUCCGUCGGUUGCGCUUCAUCGCGUGGUCGCGGCGUCGCUGCACGUUCACCUUGAGGAAAUUGAACCGCUCAGAGGAGGCGAGCAGCUUGAACAGCUCAGCAUGGUAUGAUGGAACAUGGGCUCGUACUCAUUUUGUCGGUUCUGGAGUUUGCGAGCCAAUGAUUAAACAGGGACUGCCGGGGGCAUUCGUACUCGGGCGCAGAGGCAAAGCUGAAACUUAAAGGAAUUGACGGAAGGGCACCACCAGGAGUGGAGCCUGCGGCUUAAUUUGACUCAACACGGGAAACCUCACCCGGCCCGAACACUGUUAUGACAGACAGGUUGAGAGCUCUUUCUCGAUUCAGUGGUUGGUGGUGCAUGGCCGUUCUUAGUUCGUGGAGCGAUCUGUCUGGUUAAUUCCGAUAACGAACGAGACUCUUGCCUGCUAAAUAGACGGCGCCGCACUCGUACGGCGACCGCACGCUUCUUAGAGGGACAAGCGGCUCUUAGCCGCGUGAAGCGAAGAGCAAUAACAGGUCAGUGAUGCCCUCAGAUGUUCGGGGCCGCACGCGCGCUACACUGCUUGCGUCAACGUGUGCGUCCCUCGCCUGACGGCGCGGGCAAUCCGUUGAACCGCAAGCGUGCUAGGGAUCGGAGAUUGCAAUUCUUCUCCGUCAACGAGGAAUUCCUUGUACUCGCGAGUCAUCAGCUCGCAGGGAAUCUGUCCCUGCCCUUUGUACACACCGCCCGUCGCUACUACCGAUUGAGGUGGUUUAGUGAGGCUCACGGACCGCUGGCGGCACCCGGCGCUCGCGCGCCACGUCGCCGGCGGAAAGUGAUACGAACUUGAUCACUUCUAGGAAGUAAAAGUCGUAACANGGUUUUCGUAGGUGAACCUGCGG
rnacentral:rRNA from 1 species